ensembl:snRNA U4 U4 spliceosomal RNA
AGCUUUGUGCAGUGGCAGUAUUGUAGCCAAUGAGGUUUAUCCUAGGCAUGAUUAUUGCUAAUUGAAAACUUUUCCCAAUACCCCACUGUGAUGAAUUAAAAAAAAAGGAUCAUAUUUAGGUGACUCAGUCCUGUUCAAUUUUUUUAAAUAUGAUUUUUAU